rnacentral:rRNA from 1 species
AGUGAACGCUGGCGGCAGGCCUAACACAUGCAAGUCGAACGGCAGCACAGCAGUAGCAAUACUGUGGGUGGCGAGUGGCGGACGGGUGAGGAAUACAUCGGAAUCUGCCCAGUCGUGGGGGAUAACAUAGGGAAACUUAUGCUAAUACCGCAUACGACCUGAGGGUGAAAGCGGGGGAUCGCAAGACCUCGCGCGAUUGGAUGAGCCGAUGUCCGAUUAGCUAGUUGGCGGGGUAAUGGCCCACCAAGGCGACGAUCGGUAGCUGGUCUGAGAGGAUGAUCAGCCACACUGGAACUGAGACACGGUCCAGGCUCCUACGGGAGGCAGCAGUGGGGAAUAUUGGACAAUGGGCGCAAGCCUGAUCCAGCCAUGCCGCGUGGGU